AACAUGCUUCUACUUCAUGCACAGCUGAGCUUUAACAAUAGUGAUUUUUGUUAUACUGCUGUAUGGGACCUGCUGAGUCACAGCCUGAAACACUGAUUGAGCACCUGGGGAAAGGACUCGGUCAGCCCUGGGAGCACAGGUGGAGGCAAUUCAGCUUUGUGACCAGAAGGGGUGCAGCCUGGCUGCACCUCUCUUAGACCCCAUUUAAAGGCUGACUGCCACUAGAGAAGGGUUUCUUUCUGGAGGUCCCUCCUUGGUGAAGUUUUCCCUUUGAACCUGGAAUCUUAUGAUAUGGGGGGAAGAGCUGUGUUUUUCUUUUGCGGUCUUUUAUGAACUACUGCUCUUCAGGGACAGAGACCACUUGUGCAAGAGGGAGAGCAAUUGCUUAUUGAUGUAAUUGUUGCAAAUGAAGACAGUAUAAAGGGGAGGUAACUGACAGCAUCUUUCUGAAAGAUAUGCAGAGACUCUCCGGCUUCAUUGGGAUUGUUUGUACAUGUUGCCAGAUACUUGUCCUAAGUGGUGUUUGUUUCCUUUCCAUAAAGAAGACACCAGCUCUGGUCGCUGAUAAAACAAAGCUUGGCAAAGUCCCAAGCACAAUAUCUUGUUCUGGGAAUGCACUCAACUUGAUCUUCUCAUUUACCUCACAGGCAUUCAUUCUUCAAAAGCCAAGGGCGUACAUCUUUGGGAGAUGAAGCUGCAAAAGAAUUUUGAAUAGAUUGAACCUGGGGAUGCUUCUGGCUCAGUUAGUAUUAAUGGCAAGUUGGCUUUGGAAAAUGACAAACUCCGCAGUCUGGUGCUGGAAGAAUUAGAAGGGCUUGAAACGUGGGAAAAUAAUGGAGAAACAGCUUUGAAGUGGUUAUUCAUCUCCUUCAAAUACACCCACCGGACAACUGGGACAGAUACAAGCCGCAAAGGGAGGUACCUCCCAUGGUCAGCCCUGCAGAAGUUAGAAAGGAGUGGGGAGAAGAAAUGGUGGAGCUGGCAACAUCUUUGUGAUCUCUCAAGUGGAUCCACAGCCCAGGUGGAGCAUCCUGUUCUACUAAAGGUUGUAGAAACAUUUCUAUCCCACCUCUUUGUCUUUGGGCUGAGUCCAGAAAACUUCAGUGACAUCUGGGAAAAAAGUGAUGAAACUGUACCUGAACAACGACAUUAAAACGUAGCUUGCUGGCAGCAUGGGCUGUGUUAUGUGAGGUCUGCCUGUUCCUGCUUUACCCAGAGAGCACCAGCAGCAAGCUGGACAUGUCCUCAAACGGCUGCAGAAGUCAGGUUGUGAGAGCUGCACCGUGGCAGGUGAACUGCAACAUGUUAAUCUCACUGAAGCAAAGGCCAAAUUAUCAACAGAAAAUCUCAGUGUAUGGAAGACUUGAUUGAGAGGGGCAGGUGUCCACUGGUUGAUACCUGGAGGAAAGAGAGUUCUUCUUUUAGUGUGCAGUAAGUGCUGCUGCCUUAUUCACACAUGGGGGAAGGCAUCUCACAAGUGACCUUACAAAUGAGAAGGUACGGUGAGAGGAAGGCAGCAUGAGGAUAUGGGAAGUUUGGAAGGAAAACAGCAUGAGAUUGUUCAAAUAUCCAGCUCAUGAACAAACUGGAAAGUGACAGCAGUGGUCAUUGCAUGCAAUUGUAUCAGCC
rnacentral:lncRNA from 1 species